GUCAUUACAACAACAUCAAAAUUUCGGCGCGAACGUGAUGCGUGGUUCUUUCGUGUUCAGUUGAAUAACGACAAGAAAGGAACAGAAAAUCUUCCAUUAUUUUUGCACCUAAACACAAAUAUCUCCUUUUUAUGCUUUGUAAAAUGAAAAUUUGAACAAUCCGAAGUUUUCCCCCAAAGAAAUGCCGAGAAAUACGUGAAAACUUGUCGUUAACGCGGUAAAUAUUCUGAGCUUUGGAGACGCCUUUGGAUUCAACCGCCACGACGCGUUCUUCGUUUCGAUUUACACUCGUCUGCUUCGUUUGAGAAAGAAAUGAUGUGUGGGAGACAUUGAUGGCAACAUUAGAGUUUGGAAAAGUGUCGCCGGAGGUUCUUUGCAUAUACUGCAGCAGCCAUCACUUGAUAAACAGGACACAUGGAAUGUGUGGUAACAGGCAAGGCGAACAAAGUUACCACCAUAAUGAUCGUUGUUGGAGUCAGGAUAAAUUCUGCUGAUUUGCCGGCAAUCUGCCAGAAGUUAAACUUUGAUUUUCCCCUCAUGUAAUCUGGCACAAAUGCUCCAC